AGAUUGAACGCUGGCGGCAGGCCUAACACAUGCAAGUCGAGCGGUAGAGAGGUGCUUGCAUCUCUUGAGAGCGGCGGACGGGUGAGUAAUGCCUAGGAAUCUGCCUAGUGGUGGGGGAUAACGUUCGGAAACGGACGCUAAUACCGCAUACGUCCUACGGGAGAAAGCGGGGGACCUUCGGGCCUCGCGCCAUUAGAUGAGCCUAGGUCGGAUUAGCUAGUUGGUGAGGUAAUGGCUCACCAAGGCGACGAUCCGUAACUGGUCUGAGAGGAUGAUCAGUCACACUGGAACUGAGACACGGUCCAGACUCCUACGGGAGCAGCAGGUGGGGAAUAUUGGACAAGUGGGACGAAAGCCU
rnacentral:rRNA from 1 species